rfam:Hordeum vulgare subsp. vulgare, WGS project CAJW01000000 data, contig: morex_contig_96959
UAUAUACUUCCUCCGUCUGGAAAUAUUUGUCCUAGAAAUGAAUAAAAUGGAUGUACCUAUAACUAAAAUAAGUCUUGAUACAUGUACUUUUAGGACAAGUAUUUCCGGACAGAGGGAGUACAAG